rnacentral:lncRNA from 1 species
GCAGUUCUGUGUCGCUAGGCUUCGGCCGGGCAGCCGCCCCACAUAAGCUGCGAGGAGGAGCUUUACGACUUCCCGGUCUUCGGGGCCGGGCGCAGCAAGGGCCAGACUCUGCGCUAGCAGGCGCUGCCCGCCAACCGGCCGGCACCUGUCGCAGAAGGUGCAACCGAUCGCACUGUCGCGCAGAAGCUCCUCAAUGGCCAGCGCCAGCUGCAGCCCCGGCCGCCCACUCGCCUCACCUGAGCCUGGGAGUUUGAAAAAUCACAUUUGAGAAGAGGAUUGGAUCCUAGCCAUAACAUAAAUAUAAGGGUGGAACCAAAGUUUUAAUCAAAGAAGGUGAUGUUCAGUUGCUGCUUACGAUAGUUGAUACCCCAGGAUUUGGAGAUGCAGUGGAUAAUAGUAAUUGCUGGCAGCCUGUUAUCAAUUACAUUGAUAGUAAAUUUGAGGACUACCUAAAUGCAGAAUCACGAGUGAACAGAUGUCAGAUGCCUGGUAACAGGGUGCAGUGUUGUUUAUACUUCAUUGCUCCUUCAGGACAUGGACCAUUACAUAACUGAAGACUCCCACCUUCAGGCAGGAUUGGGUAGUACGUGUUUGUAACUACCUGGCAUUGCCUUUUGUUGAGGUUAGAUCUUGGGACAGCCCACAUACCUAGACAAACUUAGGCUUUCCAGCUUGCACUGGACCAGGGUGGAAAGGAAGGGUAGAUGUCUACCCAAAUGGAAUAUUGAGUAUCAGAGACUUCAAAUGAUAACUUUUGUUUGUUUGGAGAAAAUCUUGAGGACGUGAUCACUGUACAAAAGCAUGGCAAAAUGAGGAAACCACUGACAGGUGAAGAAUUUGCACAAUGGAAAACCACCUUGACCAUCUCAUGACUUUAUACAGGAAUCGGAGUAUCAGAAGCUAAGUCUCUUCUCUAGCACCUCCUUCAGGGACCGUGAGCUCCUUGGGGUCACUGCUCUGUCUCCACAGCAGAGCACGGUACCUAACAUGUGGCAGGACUCAAUAAAAGACAUCCAAGGCCAUUCCAUUUCUAGAUCACACUUAUCCCUCAAUCAAGUCAGUGACUGGAUCAUCUCCUAAGGUUUCACCUGCUUUGCAUCAGUGAGUUGGACUAUGGAUCAGGUACUGUGCUCAGCAUCAGAAAAUGGGAUGACAAUGAACAGAGUAACACGACUAUAUUUCUGAAAAAGGAUGAACUUACUGGAAACAGGAU